rnacentral:rRNA from 1 species
GACGGAGGGUGCUAGCGUUGUUCGGAAUCACUGGGCGUAAAGGGCGCGUAGGCGGCCGCCCGCGUCGGACGUGAAAGCCCGGGGCUCAACCCCGGAACGGCGUCCGAUACGGGGCGGCUCGAGGCCGGGAGAGGGGGGUGGAAUACCCAGUGUAGAGGUGAAAUUCGUAGAUAUUGGGUGGAACACCGGUGGCGAAGGCGGCGACCUGGUCCUUGACUGACGCUGAGGCGCGAAAGCGUGGGGAGCAAACAGG